rnacentral:rRNA from 1 species
UGCCUGCCCAGUGAUUAUUAAAAUUAAACGGCUGCGGUACUCUGACCGUGCAAAGGUAGCAUAAUCAUUAGUCUGUUAAUUUCAGACUGGAAUCAAUGGCAAGACGAGGGAAAGACUGUCUCUUUCUAUUAUUUUAGAAAUUUUCUUUUUGGUGAAGAGGCCGAAAUGAGAAAGUGGGACGAGAAGACCCUAUUGAGUUUUAGCCAUUUAAUAAAAAAUAUUUUUUUUUGAUGGCUUUGGUUGGGGCAACUAUUUAUUAAAUUAAACAUUUAUAAAAAAAGUGAAUUGAAUCUCAAAUAAAAAUAAACCCAGAAAUUUGUUCUGGAGUUAAAAAAAAUUACCUUAGGGAUAACAGCGUAAUUCUUCUUGAGAGUGCGUAUUGACAGAAGAGUUUGCGACCUCGAUGUUGGAUCAAGUUUUCCCGAAGGUGCAGCAGCUUUUAAUGGUUGGUUUGUUCAACCAUAAAAAUCUU